AGUGAACGCUGGCGGUAGGCCUAACACAUGCAAGUCGAACGGCAGCACAGAGGAGCUUGCUCCUUGGUUGGCGAGUGGCGGACGGGUGAGGAAUACAUCGGAAUCUACUCUGUCGUGGGGGAUAACGUAGGGAAACUUACGCUAAUACCGCAUACGACCUACGGGUGAAAGCAGGGGACCUUCGGGCCUUGCGCGAUUGAAUGAGCCGAUGUCGGAUUCGCUAGUUGGCGGGGUAACGGCCCACCAAGGCGACGAUCCGUAGCUGGUCUGAGAGGAUGAUAAGCCAGAUGGGAACUGAGACACGGUCCAGACUCCUACGGGAGGCAGCAGGGGGGAAUAUUGGACAAUGGGCGCAAGCCUGAUGCGGCCAUACCGCGUGGGUGAAGAAGGCCUUCGGGUUGUAAAGCCCUUUUGUUGGGAAAGAAAUCCAGCUGGCUAAUACCCGGUUGGGAUGACGGUACCCAAAGAACAAGCACCGGCUAACUUCGUGCCAGCAGCCGCCGUAA
rnacentral:rRNA from 1 species